AGGUUUAUGUGCAUAACAUGGUCACUGAAGACGGUCUGGUGAGUUGUUCAUCUGAAUUUGAAGCUGCAAUACAGAAUGGGGAAAGAACUUUAUUAAGGUUUUAUGUGAUAAAAAGACUCAGGAAUCAGAUCUGCUAAUAAAUGGGCUGAUGCUUUAUUUGUUACUCUCGUGGGUAGUAACUCCUUGUGGGAAAGUACACGGGAUCAAUACCUUAAGAAGAACCGAUCACCAUACUUAAAGCGAUGGUGAGCAAUGAUCUCUUAAGCCUUGUGAACACUAGGCCUCUAAAAUUCUGGAAAGAAACCCUUGCUCUUUGCAGUGAUUCAACAUCCCCUCAAGUGCCACACAGUGUUUCUGGAGUUCAAUAUCCUGAUAGCUAUCAACAGCCAUUUGAUCCUAGAUAUGGGAUUGGGUACAAUGCUCCUGCUCCACACCAGCAACCCCAACAACCCAAUUUGUUUGUUCCAUCACCGGCUACUCACUCGGGUUCCCUAAGCUCCCCAGGUACAUUAUCAUAUAAAUGUCAUAAAAAAUGAACAGUUAUUGCACAUUUGGAUGAUAUUUAUGGGGUUGUGUAAGGUCAAUGAGUUUGAUUGAGUUAUCAGUUGUCACCCUUAGGUUUGAUGUGAAAACAGAAUGUGAACCUACAUGAUGUUCAUCAUUAAGUUACCUUAACUACUCAUAAAAGAUAUUAAACAAUUGUGAGCAAAGGGAUGGAUGCUUCAAUGACCUUUGAGGAAAAUGCAUUAUGAAUGGUUUCUUGAUGCCCAAAAAAAGCUGCAUAAAUUACUUAAUGACUCUAGUCCCUGAAUGUGAAAAAGCUAGUUGUUGCCUUCAUUGCUACUAAAACAAUUGUCUCUAUCGAUGUCCUCUUUUCUAUUCAAAAAAUUUAUGAAUUUUAUUCACAAUAAUGCAUGAAUGGAUAUAUAUUCUGCUUUGAUGACCCUUGGUCCCAAAAUUCAAUUCUGCAACUGAAAGGAAAAGUGAUUUUGCAUUAAGAAUUUAGUGACCCUUGUCCCUAAUGUUUCAUAUGUUUUGUAAGGGAUGGAUGCUUCAACGACUUUUGAGGAAAAUGCAUUAUGAAUGCUUUCUUGAUGCCCAAAAAAUGUUGUAUAAAUUACUUAAUGACUCUAGUCUCUGAAUGUGAAAAAGCUAGUUGUUGUCUUAAUUACUACUCAAUCAAUUGUAUCUAUCGGUGUCCUCUUUUCUAUUAAAAUAAUAUGAAUAUUUAUUCAUAUUAAUGGAUGAAUGGAUAUAUACUUUGCUUUGAUGACCCUUAGUCCCUAAAGUCAAUUAUGUAACUGCAAUUAAAAGUGAUUUAUGAACUUAACGACCCUUGUCCCUAAUGUUUUUUUAAGUUUUGUAAGGGAUGAAUGCUUCAAUGACCUUUUUAUGACCGUAAUUGUGAAACUGUCACUAGUUGGUAUGGUAUACAUAGUCACUAACUCCAAAUUCGACAGUAAGAUGGAUAUACUUUGUUCCAUGAAUUUUGUAAGGGGUUGUCUUGGUGGCCCAAAAAUGUUGGAUGAUGCCGUAAUGUGAAAGCUGGUUGUUGCCCUAAAUGCAAUUUUAAUAUAAAAUUUCAUUCAUAAUAUAAGGUAUGAAUAUUAUCUAUUGUGCUUUGAUGACCUAGUCCCUAAAUGCAAUUUUAUAACUACAAUAUGAAAUGAUGUUGUAAAUGCAAAAUAGAGUGCAGGCUUGUUUUUGGUUAGCCUAUUGAUAAGGGUUUCAAGAGAAUUCUCUAAGAAAUGAAUCAACUAAAGAAAAGUACAAGAAAUUAACUCUAUGGAGUCUGAACUAUUUCUCAUAGUAUUUAUCUACUAUGUAU